rnacentral:tRNA from 1 species
GAGGGUGUAGCUCAGUGGUAGAGUGCAUGCCUAGCAUGCAGAGUCCUGGCUUCAAUCCCCAGUACCUCCA